GUUGUCGAGUCGCGGCGAGGCCGGCGCACCGCAGCCAUGAUGGAGGCUGAUGUGAAUCCGAAGGCCUAUCCCCUCGCAGAUGCCCACCUUACCAAGAAGCUGCUGGACCUUGUUCCGCAGUCGUGUAACUACAAGCAGCUUCGGAAAGGAGCCAAUGAAGCAACCAAAACCCUCAACAGAGGCAUCUCUGAGUUCAUUGUGAUGGCAGCAGACGCUGAGCCCUUGGAGAUCAUCCUGCACCUCCCUCUGCUGUGUGAAGACAAGAAUGUCCCCUACGUAUUUGUGUGCUCCAAGCAGGCUUUAGGACAGGCCUGUGGCAUCUCCAGGCCAGUCAUCGCCUGUUCUGUUACCAUCAAAGAAGGCUCUCAACUAAAACAGCAGAUCCAG